GCGAACGGGUGAGUAACACGUGAGCAACCUGCCCCCAACUUUGGGAUAAGCCUCGGAAACGGGGUCUAAUACCGAAUAAUAUCUUCGCACUCAUGUGUGGGGUUUGAAAGUUCUGGCGGUUGGGGAUGGGCUCGCGGCCUAUCAGCUUGUUGGUGGGGUAAUGGCCUACCAAGGCGUCGACGGGUAGCCGGCCUGAGAGGGCGACCGGCCACACUGGGACUGAGACACGGCCCAGACUCCUACGGGAGGCAGCAGUGGGGAAUAUUGCGCAAUGGGCGAAAGCCUGACGCAGCAACGCCGCGUGAGGGAUGACGGCCUUCGGGUUGUAAACCUCUUUCAGCAGGGACGAAGCGAGAGUGACGGUACCUGCAGAAGAAGGACCGGCCAACUACGUGCCAGCAGCCGCGGUAAUACGUAGGGUCCGAGCGUUGUCCGGAAUUAUUGGGCGUAAAGGGCUCGUAGGCGGUAUGUCGCGUCGGGAGUGAAAACUCGGAGCUUAACUCCGAGCCUGCUUCCGAUACGGGCAGACUAGAGGUAGGCAGGGGAGAGCGGAACUCCUGGUGUAGCGGUGGAAUGCGCAGAUAUCAGGAAGAACACCGGUGGCGAAGGCGGCUCUCUGGGCCUUACCUGACGCUGAGGAG
rnacentral:rRNA from 1 species